rnacentral:rRNA from 1 species
GACGAACGCUGGCGGCGUGCUUAACACAUGCAAGUCGAACGCUGAAGCUUGGUGCUUGCGCUGGGUGGAUGAGUGGCGAACGGGUGAGUAAUACGUGAGUAACCUGCCCUUGACUCUGGGAUAAGCCUGGGAAACUGGGUCUAAUACUGGAUACGACAUGUCACCGCAUGGUGGUGUGUGGAAAGGGUUUUGCUGGUUUUGGAUGGGCUCACGGCCUAUCAGCUUGUUGGUGGGGUAAUGGCUCACCAAGGCGACGACGGGUAGCCGGCCUGAGAGGGUGACCGGCCACACUGGGACUGAGACACGGCCCAGACUCCUACGGGAGGCAGCAGUGGGGAAUAUUGCACAAUGGGCGGAAGCCUGAUGCAGCGACGCCGCGUGAGGGAUGACGGCCUUCGGGUUGUAAACCUCUUUCAGCACGGAAGAAGCGAAAGUGACGGUACGUGCAGAAGAAGCGCCGGCUAACUACGUG